ensembl:lncRNA
UUCUCGAGUCUACAACUCACUGAUUCAAAUGAACAGUUUAGUCCGAGUCUCCAGUGAACUGAAUUCACAAAUAAGAACCGGGAGAUAUUGUGAGCGUGCACACAUCUGAUUCUGUUAAAAGUGACAGGGCACAGGCUGAUAGGAUUUCUCAUCUUUGGGAUUAAUAACACACCACCCUCCCUCGCUUGCUCUUCCUAUUGAACUGAUGAAAUCAAUAUGCAUGCAGAUUCCUCAAGCUUUCCUGGAAAAGUGGACAUGCAGGACGUCACAAGGCAGCUGGUUUGCAUGCAGCACUUAAAUCUGCUCCUGGAAAGAGGGUCAUAGCCACAGUGUCAUAUGUCUCCCGGAGGCACAGGUUUUCUAUUCUGGAGACGUCCCUCCCUCGCUGACAGCCA